rnacentral:rRNA from 1 species
GAUGAACGCUAGCGGGAGGCUUAAUACAUGCAAGUCGAGCGGUAAUUUAGGAAUAGCAAUAUUUCUGAGCUAGAGCGGCGCACGGGUGAGUAACGCGUACACGACCUGCCCUUUACUGGGGGAUAGCCUUGGGAAACUGAGAUUAAUACCCCAUGGUAUUAUUAUGCUGCAUGGUAUAAUAAUUAAAGCUGAGGCGGUAAAGGAUGGGUGUGCGUCUGAUUAGCUAGUUGGUAGGGUAACGGCCUACCAAGGCGAUGAUCAGUAGAGGGCGUGAGAGCGUGACCCCCCACACGGGUACUGAGACACGGACCCGACUCCUACGGGAGGCAGCAGUAAGGAAUAUUGGUCAAUGGAGGGAACUCUGAACCAGCCAUCCCGCGUGCAGGAUGAAGGGGCUCUGCCCUGUAAACUGCUUUUGAA